GGGUUGUAAACCUCUUUCCAGCAGGGAAGAAGCGAAAGUGACGGUACCUGCAGAAGAAGCGCCGGCUAACUACGUGCCAGCAGCCGCGGUAAUACGUAGGGCGCGAGCGUUGUCCGGAAUUAUUGGGCGUAAAGAGCUCGUAGGCGGCUUGUCACGUCGGUUGUGAAAGCCCGGGGCUUAACCCCGGGUCUGCAGUCGAUACGGGCAGGCUAGAGUUCGGUAGGGGAGAUCGGAAUUCCUGGUGUAGCGGUGAAAUGCGCAGAUAUCAGGAGGAACACCGGUGGCGAAGGCGGAUCUCUGGGCCGAUACUGACGCUGAGGAGCGAAAGCGUGGGGAGCGAACAGGAUUAGAUACCCUGGUAGUCCACGCCGUAAACGGUGGGCACUAGGUGUGGGCGACAUUCCACGUCGUCCGUGCCGCAGCUAACGCAUUAAGUGCCCCGCCUGGGGAGUACGGCCGCAAGGCUAAAACUCAAAGGAAUUUGACGGGGGCCCGCACAAGCCGGCGGAGCAUGUGGCUUAAUUCGACGCAACGCGAAGAACCUUACCAAGGCUUGACAUACACCGGAAAGCAUCAGAGAUGGUGCCCCCCUUGUGGUCGGUGUACAGGUGGUGCAUGGGCUGUCGUCAGCUCGUGUCGUGAGAUGUUGGGUUAAGUCCCGCAACGAGCGCAACCCUUGUCCCGUGUUGCCAGCAGGCCCUUGUGGUGCUGGGGACUCACGGGAGACCGCCGGGGUCAACUCGGAGGAAGGUGGGGACGACGUCAAGUCAUCAUGCCCCUUAUGUCUUGGGCUGCACACGUGCUACAAUGGCCGGUACAAUGAGCUGCGAUACCGCGAGGUGGAGCGAAUCUCAAAAAGCCGGUCUCAGUUCGGAUUGGGGUCUGCAACUCGACCCCAUGAAGUCGGAGUCGCUAGUAAUCGCAGAUCAGCAUUGCUGCGGUGAAUACGUUCCCGGGCCUUGUACACACCGCCCGUCACGUCACGAAAGUCGGUAACAC
rnacentral:rRNA from 1 species